rnacentral:rRNA from 1 species
UACGUAGGGUGCAAGCGUUGUCCGGAAUUAUUGGGCGUAAAGAGCUCGUAGGCGGUUUGUCGCGUCGACUGUGAAAACCCGAGGCUUAACCUCGGGCCUGCAGUCGAUACGGGCAGACUAGAGUUCGGUAGGGGAGACUGGAAUUCCUGGUGUAGCGGUGAAAUGCGCAGAUAUCAGGAGGAACACCGGUGGCGAAGGCGGGUCUCUGGGCCGAUACUGACGCUGAGACGCGAAAGCGUGGGGAGCGAACAGG